rnacentral:rRNA from 1 species
AGUGAACGCUGGCGGUAGGCCUAACACAUGCAAGUCGAACGGCAGCACAGUAAGAGCUUGCUCUUACGGGUGGCGAGUGGCGGACGCGUGAGGAAUACAUCGGAAUCUACUUUUUCGUGGGGGAUAACGUAGGGAAACUUACGCUAAUACCGCAUACGACCUUCGGGUGAAAGCAGGGGAUCUUCGGACCUUGCGCGAUUGAAUGAGCCGAUGUCGGAUUAGCUAGUUGGCGGGGUAAAGGCCCACCAAGGCGACGAUCCGUAGCUGGUCUGAGAGGAUGAUCAGCCACACUGGAACUGAGACACGGUCCAGACUCCUACGGGAGGCAGCAGUGGGGAAUAUUGGACAAUGGGCGCAAGCCUGAUCCAGCCAUACCGCGUGGGUGAAGAAGGCCUUCGGGUUGUAAAGCCCUUUUGUUGGGAAAGAAAAGCAGCAGGUUAAUACCCCGCUGUUCUGACGGUACCCAAAGAAUAAGCACCGGCUAACUUCGUG